UGGGGAAUCUUGGACAAUGGGGGCAACCCUGAUCCAGCCAUGCCGCGUGGGUGAAGAAGGCCUUAGGGUUGUAAAGCCCUUUCAGCGGGGAAGAUGAUGACGGUACCCGCAGAAGAAGCCCCGGCUAACUCCGUGCCAGCAGCCGCGGUAAGACGGAGGGGGCUAGCGUUGUUCGGAAUUACUGGGCGUAAAGGGCGCGUAGGCGGACCGCCAAGUCAGGGGUGAAAGGCCAGGGCUCAACCUUGGAACGGCCCUUGAAACUGACGGUCUCGAGUCCGGGAGAGGAGAGCGGAAUUCCCAGUGUAGAGGUGAAAUUCGUAGAUAUUGGGAAGAACACCAGUGGCGAAGGCGGCUCUCUGGACCGGGACUGACGCUGAGGCGCGAAAGCGUGGGGAGCAAACA
rnacentral:rRNA from 1 species